rnacentral:rRNA from 1 species
AUUGAACGCUGGCGGCAUGCCUUACACAUGCAAGUCGAACGGCAGCACGGGAGCAAUCCUGGUGGCGAGUGGCGAACGGGUGAGUAAUAUAUCGGAACGUGCCCAGUCGUGGGGGAUAACGUAGCGAAAGCUACGCUAAUACCGCAUACGAUCUAUGGAUGAAAGCGGGGGAUCGCAAGACCUCGCGCGAUUGGAGCGGCCGAUAUCAGAUUAGGUAGUUGGUGAGGUAAAGGCUCACCAAGCCGACGAUCUGUAGCUGGUCUGAGAGGACGACCAGCCACACUGGGACUGAGACACGGCCCAGACUCCUACGGGAGGCAGCAGUGGGGGAAUUUUGGGACAAUGGGCGCAAGCCUGAUCCAGCAAUGCCGCGUGCAGGAUGAAGGCCUCGGUUGUAA